GGAAGUUUUCGCUGGGCAACUGAGAAGGUCGCUGUCAAGAUGGAGUUUCCAACCCAGUAAAUCCAAGGGCCAGACCGUGACCUCAUAAAGGUAUUAUCCCUUGGGCACAGCCUCUCAAGACCUUUUUCCUUUUUCCCACCAGCAGCUGGCUCCUGCUUGUCUCCUCUGGGUUGCUGCUGGCCAGCUUUACUCCCAGAAGGAACGUUGUCAUAGCAUGAUCUCCUUCUGUCCAGACUGUGGCAAAAGUAUCCAAGCGGCAUUCAAAUUCUGCCCCUACUGUGGAAAUUCUUUGCCUGUAGAGGAGCAUGUAGGGUCCCAGACCUUUGUCAAUCCACAUGUGUCAUCCUUCCAAGGCUCAAAGAGAGGGCUGAACUCCAGUUUUGAAACCUCUCCUAAGAAAGUGAAAUGGUCCAGCACCGUCACCUCUCCCCGAUUAUCCCUCUUCUCAGAUGGUGACAGUUCUGAGUCUGAAGAUACUCUGAGUUCCUCUGAGAGAUCCAAAGGCUCCGGGAGCAGACCCCCAACCCCCAAAAGCAGCCCUCAGAAGACCAG
rnacentral:lncRNA from 10 species